rnacentral:rRNA from 1 species
UACGUAGGGCGCAAGCGUUAUCCGGAAUGAUUGGGCGUAAAGCGUCCGCAGGUGGCUAUGUAAGUCUGCUGUUAAAGAGUGAGGCUCAACCUCAUAAGAGCAGUGGAAACUACAUGGCUAGAGUGCGUUCGGGGCAGAGGGAAUUCCUGGUGUAGCGGUGAAAUGCGUAGAGAUCAGGAAGAACACCGGUGGCGAAAGCGCUCUGCUAGGCCGCAACUGACACUGAGGGACGAAAGCUAGGGGAGCGAAUGGG